rnacentral:rRNA from 1 species
CACGUGAGCAACCUGCCUUUAAGAGGGGGAUAACGUUUGGAAACGAACGCUAAUACCGCAUAACAUAGAAGAUUCGCAUGUUUCUUCUAUCAAAGAUUUAUCGCUUAAAGAUGGGCUCGCGUCUGAUUAGCUGGUUGGUGAGGUAACGGCUCACCAAGGCGACGAUCAGUAGCCGUACUGAGAGGUAGAACGGCCACAUUGGGACUGAGACACGGCCCAGACUCCUACGGGAGGCAGCAGUGGGGAAUAUUGCACAAUGGAGGGAACUCUGAUGCAGCGAUGCCGCGUGAGGGAAGAAGGUUU